UACGGAGGGGGCUAGCGUUGUUCGGAAUUACAGGGCGUAAAGCGCACGUAGGCGGCUUUUCCAGUCAGAGGUGAAAGCCCGGGGCUCAACUCCGGAAUUGCCUUUGAAACUGGAUAGCUAGAACACGGGAGAGGUGAGUGGAAUUCCGAGUGGAGAGGUGAAAUUCGUAGAUAUUCGGAGGAACACCAGUGGCGAAGGCGCCUCACUGGACCGUUGUUGACGCUGAGGUGCGAAAGCGUGGGGAGCAAACAGG
rnacentral:rRNA from 1 species